AUCACUUUAGUAUACAUCAGUACAGUUGCCUUCCAAGCAAAAAGAUUAUAGGUUUAAAAGUGAUA
rnacentral:tRNA from 1 species